UACGUAGGGUGCAAGCGUUAAUCGGAAUUACUGGGCGUAAAGCGUGCGCAGGCGGCUUUGCAAGACAGAUGUGAAAUCCCCGGCUUAACCUGGGAACUGCAUUUGUGACUGCAUGGCUGGAGUGCGGCAGAGGGGAUGGAAUUCCGCGUGUAGCAGUGAAAUGCGUAGAUAUGCGGAGGAACACCGAUGGCGAAGGCAGUCCCCUGGGCCUGCACUGACGCUCAGUGCACGAAAGCGUGGGGAGCAAACAGGA
rnacentral:rRNA from 1 species